UACGUAGGGGGCAAGCGUUGUCCGGAAUUAUUGGGCGUAAAGCGCGUGUAGGCGGCCAGAAAAGUCCGCUGUGAAAACUAGAGGCUCAACCUCUAGACGUCGACCGAAACCAUUUGGCUAGAGUCCGGAAGAGGAGAGUGGAAUUCCUGGUGUAGCGGUGGAAUGCGCAGAUAUCAGGAAGAACACCCGUGGCGAAGGCGGCUCUCUGGGACGGUACUGACGCUGAGACGCGAAAGCGUGGGGAGCGAACAGG
rnacentral:rRNA from 1 species